rnacentral:rRNA from 1 species
GACGAACGCUGGCGGCGUGCUUAACACAUGCAAGUCGAACGGUGAACUCCGCUUGCGGGGGGAUCAGUGGCGCACGGGUGAGUAACACGUGGGCAACCUGCCCUCAGCUCUGGGAUAACUCCAAGAAAUUGGGGCUAAUACCGGAUAUGACCGCUGACCGCAUGGUCUGGUGGUGGAAAGAUUUAUCGGCUGGGGAUGGGCCCGCGGCCUAUCAGCUUGUUGGUGGGGUAGUGGCCUACCAAGGCGACGACGGGUAGCCGGCCGGAGAGGGUGACCGGCCACACUGGGACUGAGACACGGCCCAGACUCCUACGGGAGGCAGCAGUGGGGAAUAUUGCGCAAUGGGCGAAAGCCUGACGCAGCGACGCCGCGUGGGGGAUGACGGCCUUCGGGUUGUAAACCUCUUUCAGCAGGGACGAAGCGAAAGUGACGGUACCUGCAGAAGAAGCACCGGCCAACUACGUG